rnacentral:rRNA from 1 species
CAAUAGCGUAUAUUAACGUUGUUGCAGUUAAAAAGCUCGUAGUUGGAUUUCGGUUAAGAGCGACCGGUCCGCCGUUUGGUGUGCACUGGUUGGUUUUAACUUCCUGUAGAGGACGUGCUCUGGGUUUAACGACCUGGACUCGGAGUCUACGUGGUUACUUUGAAAAAAUUAGAGUGUUCAAAGCGGGCUUACGCUUGAAUAUUUCAGCAUGGAAUAACACUAUAGGACUCCUGUCCUAUUUCGUUGGUCUCGGGACGGGAGUAAUGAUUAAGAGGAACAGUUGGGGGUAUUCGUAUUUCAUUGUCAGAGGUGAAAUUCUUGGAUUUAUGAAAGACGAACUUCUGCGAAAGCAUUUGCCAAGGAUGUUUUCAUUAA